UACGUAGGGGGCAAGCGUUGUCCGGAAUCAUUGGGCGUAAAGAGCGCGUAGGCGGUCCGGUAAGUCAGCUGUGAAAGUCAAGGGCUCAACCCUUGAAAGCCGGUUGAUACUGUCGGGCUAGAGUCCGGAAGAGGCGAGUGGAAUUCCUGGUGUAGCGGUGAAAUGCGCAGAUAUCAGGAGGAACACCAGCGGCGAAGGCGGCGCUCUGGGCCGGAACUGACGCUGAGGAGCGAAAGCGUGGGUAGCAAACAGG
rnacentral:rRNA from 1 species